rnacentral:rRNA from 1 species
GGAGUUAGCCGGUGCUUCUUCUGCGAGUAACGUCACAGAUGUAAGGUAUUAACUUACACCCUUUCCUCCUCGCUGAAAGUGCUUUACAACCCGAAGGCCUUCUUCACACACGCGGCAUGGCUGCAUCAGGGUUUCCCCCAUUGUGCAAUAUUCCCCACUGCUGCCUCCCGUAGGAGUCUGGGCCGUGUCUCAGUCCCAGUGUGGCUGAUCAUCCUCUCAGACCAGCUAGGGAUCGUCGCCUAGGUGAGCCUUUACCUCACCUACUAGCUAAUCCCACCUGGGCUUAUCCAUCAGCGCAAGGCCCGAAGGUCCCCUGCUUUCCCCCGUAGGGCGUAUGCGGUAUUAGCAGUCGUUUCCAACUGUUAUCCCCCACAAAUGGGCAAAUUCCCAGGCAUUACUCACCCGUCCGCCGCUCGUCAUCUUCAAAAGCAAGCUUUUGAAAUGUUACCGCUCGACUUGCAUGUGUAGCUGACGCCAGCGUCAUACUGAGCAGAAUACGAACCUACGA